AAGUAACUACGGAGUGCGGAGGGUCAAAUUGAACUGUUUAUCCUAUACAAAAUCAGAUGAUGGAGUCGUCAAUACCCACAAAACCAUGGAAGCUCUUUAUCUCCUCUUCUCCAUUGGGUCAACGUUCAUCACUUCCCUUGCUCUCUCUCUCCUCCUCCUCCUGCGGAAUCUCCUCACGCGCCUCCGCUUCUUCCGUUCCAUCCCUCCCCCUUCCGCCAAUGCCGCCUUUCACUCUCAUUCCAUCUAUGAAGGCACUGUUUGGCAUGACCGCCGCCAUCCUGUCCGCCACUCAUUUAGCUACUCCGUUCGUUAUGCGUUUUUAGACCUAGACAACUUAUCCUGCCCGCAGCCUGGACACCUCUCCGCCGAGGAGGCUCGCCAAAAAGUGGAAACCACCGGACCAGUAUUUCUCCUGACAAUACCUCCCAGCGUGGGAUAUGAGCAAAAUCCUUUAAGUGUGUAUUAUUGCUAUGACCUUGAAGGCUCUAUUCUGCAUUUGAAGAAAUGCAUUGCUGAGGUAACAAACACACCAUGGGGUGAAAGAGUCAUAUUUGUUUUCGAUCCGAGCUCAGAUUUAGUGGCAAAACCAUUGCAUGUCAGCCCUUUUAUGGAUAUGUUGGGGAAUUGGAGAAUAAGAGCAAAUGCUCCUGGUGACAGCUUAUCUGUUUUCAUUUCAGUCCAACACCCUGAACUUGGUGACUAUUUUGUCGCUACUUUGAAAGCUAAAAGAAUCUCCCUGUCAUUGGGUAGUGAUCAUGGUUUGUUCUUCUGGUUGAUGCCUCAUAAAGUUGCAUUCUGGAUAUAUUGGCAAGCUCUUCAACUGUGGUGGAAAAAUGUGCCAUACAUCCAACAUCCAAGGUACUGUAACCCUAAAUAUAGGGAGGAAGCAAUGGCACGUGAUCAAAAGCUUCAAUGCAAUCUAGAACUUGCACAGGUUGAGGAUAAAUAUUUGCAAGAUGGAUUUUGCCCAGGAAGUUUCUCUGGCAGGAUUUACAAGGAACGCCAGUUUAAAUGGAGAGAUGCAAAAUGGCCUUGGGGUUGAACUGUGAGGGAAAGCUUUUCAUUGAGUUGUAUUUAAUACAAUUGAAUUGAAUGUUUCUUAAUUAAUGUUCCAUGUGUCAACUUCUUGAGUUUAUCUACCUAAUGGUUUUAUCAAUCAGAAUGCAUCUCUACAUAGAGUUAUUGUUAUAGAUAAUGGAUAGAUUAAAUUCAUAACAAACAAAUUGUAUUUAUCUAUUACCUUAUUUCUACUAUCUUAUCUUAUUCAUUUUUAUUAGAUUUUUUCAUCUUAUCAAAGAGUUUAUUAUGUAAUAAUUACUUAUAUUAGACUUCUAUUUUAGUUAGAAAUCCUAUGAUUCAAUAAAUAAAUAGAAUUUAUUUCUAAAAUUGUGAGAUUUAAGACUUUCUCAUUAACAAAUCUAAGGUGUUAAGAGCUCCCUCUAAUGAGUUCCCCGCUAUCAGUUACCUUUUCAGUGUAGCAAGAAUUUUGGUUGGUCAUGUUGGUAUUGCACUAUUUAAUGGAACUCGAUAUUGUUUAUACUGAUGGAAUAGAAGUGCUAUCGUAGCUAAUUGCUUGUUAUUUAAUCAGUAUCAAAGCCCAUUUUGAACUUCUCUUUCUGCUUGUUUGUUCUCUACUUUCAUUCAUUAAGACAUUCCUUAUUUAGUUUUGUUGUUUUGAAUUCCCUGCAACCACUGAACCAGCAGGCCCUUUUCCAAGUCCAUUUAUUAUUUUUGUACUGAAAUGAAACAUGCUUCCUGUUGAAAAACUGGACUGAGCCUUACUUGGCUCCCAAAGCUAACUCAAGAGAUACAGAAGCUAACUCAAUUGGAAAGGAUUGUCCAACUAUUUGGUAUUCAAUCCAUGUCCUAAACCAAUGUGAAACAAUACUUCCACAGUUUACUUGCAAGUGAUUUUCCUUCGUUUGUCAUGGAUGGUAUUUAUAGAUUAUAGUACCAGUGAAGACUGGAGUGUACAGUUUUCUUCAAUAAUAGCGUUCACACCGUUAUAGAGUAGAAUGUCCUUAUUAAUUAGCUUUUGGGUUCAUCAUAACAUCGAGAGCAAGCACACAUAUAGAGUGUUUCAUCCUUUAUAACUUGAAUUAUCAUCUUCUAAAUCAAGUUUUCUGCAGGUGUAACUGUGAGAAACUACAUAUCUAUGUGGUGUAAUCUAUAAUCACUUUCCAAUUAGUAGACGUUAUGCUGCAAUCACAAAUUUGUGGUUCAUGCAUUAUUAUUAUGAGACCUAUAUAUCUAUGUGGUGUAAUGUACAGUAGCAGAUUUCUCAUUAUACUUGCCUUGUGAUGCAUGCAGGAACACUAUCAUUCUGCUAUUUUUGGUGCAAAUGGCUUAGGGUACAUGGCAAGUUAGAGUCUGUGAAGGAAAAAGGUGCGGUCCUUGUAUACUUCUGUACGUUGUGAACAUUCUUUGCCUGUGGCAGUUGGCAACAUUGCUAUCAGCAGAGAAAUGCUUAGACAACAUCAACCACAAUCUUGAUAUGUGUUUUCCUUGUUGGUGACGCAGAUCGACCGUUUCCGAUAACCAUGUAAGUGUGCCAGACUCCGAUAGACUUCCCUUGACCCUACCUUCAUUUUCCGAUUAAUAGUGCGUGAUUUGAUUGACUUUCCCACUAGGAGAGUAUAAUUAAAGUAUCUAUUUUAAUUUAUUUAGUUUUAUAAUUAUAUAAAUUUUUUUAAUAAUAAUAAUAAUAGUAAAAAGAAGUUUACUUUCCAUUGUAUACAAUGAAGAUAUCAACCAUCUAAUUGAAAAUGUUUGAACUAUGGUAUAAAAUUAAAAUUCUUUUUUAUCAAAUUAGGCAAUUAACCAAGUUAACAAGGGGGGACUCAGGACAAUCGACGAUAAUGAUUAAAAUUUAGGAGAGAAUAAUUUUCCUGACCUGAAUUCAGAUUAAUCAUUUACUAAUCUUGAAUAAAAGAAUUUAAAAAAAAAAAAAA